AGUUGGGUGGUGUAGUUGAUAACACCUCCUAGUAUAUAUGGGACGACCCGGGUUCGAUCCCUGGUCUGACCA